UUAACUUUUAUAGAGUGACUAAUGCCCUGUGAAGAUAAGGUAGACUCUCAGUCACCUGUGUUUUAAUCCAGGCUGAAGAAAUUAUGCCAAAGGCACACUGACAAAAACUUGAUUCCUUUGGAGAGGAUGGCAGUAGCUUGGUGGGGAGCAGAAAGGGUCUUGAUUUUAAAAGUCUCAUUGGAAUGACUCUCCCUUCCUCACUGUGAACACAGUUUAGCAUUUAUGUACUUUGGAAGGACAAAGAGGUGAGGUAAUUUACUCCUUAAACAUAUACAACCCUAUUCCAUGUGCAAAUUCUAUUAACUUCAGCUGAAGAUGUAAAAAAUUAGUCCUGCGGCAUGUGAAGGGAUUCCUUUUUAAGAGAGGGAAACAAAAAUGUAUUUGUGCCAACUGUGUCAGACAUAUUUUACUACACAGAACACAGAUUUUUGACACACUUGGCUCCAGAAAGCAAUUUAAUUAUUACUGUUGACCAGUAAAGAUUUAAAUGGCCUAUUUUGGGGUCUGGAAAUUUUGUUUCAACUUUCCAAGACAAUGGGACCUUGCCUUCACUUUAUCACAAAGUGAAACUUCAAACUUUGAACUUUCUAGGACCAACAUUUAACAGCUACACAAGAAGUCCUGAUUAACAAACGAAACCUAUAUCAGAAUCACACAAACAACAACAAAAUCUGCAACUCUUCAUUUUAAACUGAUUAUGGUUAAAAGUCGAAGUC